UACGAAGGGGGCUAGCGUUGUCCGGAUUUAUUGGGCGUAAAGAGCGUGUAGGCGGUUUGGUAGGUCCGCUGUGAAAACUCGAGCUCAACCUCGAGACGCCGGUGGAAACCAUCAGACUAGAGUCCGGAAGAGGAGAGUGGAAUUCCUGGUGUAGCGGUGAAAUGCGCAGAUAUCAGGAAGAACACCCGUGGCUAAGGCGGCUCUCUAGUACGGUACUGACGCUGAGACGCGAAAGCGUGGGGAGCGAACAGG
rnacentral:rRNA from 1 species